rnacentral:rRNA from 1 species
UACGUAGGCAGCAAGCGUUGUUCGGAGUUACUGGGCGUAAAGGGUGCGUAGGUGGCUCUAUAAGUAUGGUGUGAAAUCUCCCGGCUUAACUGGGAGGGUGCGCCGUAGACUGUGGGGCUAGAGUGUGGGAGAGGAAAGUGGAAUUCCUGGUGUAGCGGUGAAAUGCGUAGAUAUCAGGAGGAACACCGGUGGUGUAAACGGCUCUCUGGACCAUAACUGACACUGAGGCACGAAAGCGUGGGUAGCAAACAGG